rnacentral:rRNA from 1 species
UACGGAGGGUGCAAACGUUGCUCGGAAUCAUUGGGCGUAAAGCGCACGUAGGUGGCUUGUUAAGUCGGGGGUGAAAUCCUGGAGCUCAACUCCAGAACUGCCUUCGAUACUGGGAGUCUUGAGUUCGGGAGAGGUGAGUGGAACUGCGAGUGUAGAGGUGAAAUUCGUAGAUAUUCGCAAGAACACCAGUGGCGAAGGCGGCUCACUGGCCCGAUACUGACGCUGAGGUGCGAAAGCGUGGGGAGCAAACAGG